rnacentral:rRNA from 1 species
UAAGGAAUAUUGGUCAAUGGACGCAAGUCUGAACCAGCCAUGCCGCGUGAAGGAUUAAGGUCCUCUGGAUUGUAAACUUCUUUUAUCUGGGACGAAAAAAGGCGAUUCUUCGUCACUUGACGGUACCAGAUGAAUAAGCACCGGCUAACUCCGUGCCAGCAGCCGCGGUAAUACGGAGGGUGCAAGCGUUAUCCGGAUUCACUGGGUUUAAAGGGUGCGUAGGCGGGCAGGUAAGUCAGUGGUGAAAUCCUAGAGCUUAACUCUAGAACGGACAUUGAUACUAUAUGUCUUGAAUAUUGUGGAGGUAAGCGGAAUAUGUCAUGUAGCGGUGAAAUGCUUAGAUAUGACAUAGAACACCUAUGGCGAAGGCAGCUUACUACGCAUAUAUUGACGCUGAGGCACGAAAGCGGGGGGAUCAAACAGG